rnacentral:rRNA from 1 species
GCAGUCGAGCGAAUGGAUUAAGAGCUUGCUCUUAUGAAGUUAGCGGCGGACGGGUGAGUAACACGUGGGUAACCUGCCCAUAAGACUGGGAUAACUCCGGGAAACCGGGGCUAAUACCGGAUAACAUUUUGAACCGCAUGGUUCGAAAUUGAAAGGCGGCUUCGGCUGUCACUUAUGGAUGGACCCGCGUCGCAUUAGCUAGUUGGUGAGGUAACGGCUCACCAAGGCAACGAUGCGUAGCCGACCUGAGAGGGUGAUCGGCCACACUGGGACUGAGACACGGCCCAGACUCCUACGGGAGGCAGCAGUAGGGAAUCUUCCGCAAUGGACGAAAGUCUGACGGAGCAACGCCGCGUGAGUGAUGAAGGCUUUCGGGUCGUAAAACUCUGUUGUUAGGGAAGAACAAGUGCUAGUUGAAUAAGCUGGCACCUUGACGGUACCUAACCAGAAAGCCACGGCUAACUACGUGCCAGCAGCCGCGGUAAUACGUAGGUGGCAAGCGUUAUCCGGAAUUAUUGGGCGUAAAGCGCGCGCAGGUGGUUUCUUAAGUCUGAUGUGAAAGCCCACGGCUCAACCGUGGAGGGUCAUUGGAAACUGGGAGACUUGAGUGCAGAAGAGGAGAGUGGAAUUCCAUGUGUAGCGGUGAAAUGCGUAGAGAUAUGGAGGAACACCAGUGGCGAAAGCGACUUUCUGGUCUGUAACUGACACUGAGCGCGAAAGCGUGGGGAGCAAACACGAUUAGAUACCCUGGUAGUCCACGCCGUAAACGAUGAGUGCUAAGUGUUAGAGGGUUUCCGCCCUUUAGUGCUGAAGUUAACGC